AGUUUAACUUCAGCCGAUGCCUCCAUCGCCAAACACCAUUCCGCCUUCGCCAUCUGAGCAGCAGCGGCGCCCUUGGUCUUCCCUUCUCUCUCCUCUCCCUCUCGGCUAGCGGCGACCAUGGCAGCAGCGGAGACCAGCAGUUUUCCCGACGGCAGCAAGAAACAACGACAGUGGCUAUGGCGGCGAGUUAUUUUCUCUGGCGGAGCUUAUUCCCCGGCAGAGCUGUGACGACGGGCAGAAAAGGCAGCGCGGCAGUACCUUUCUCCCUCUUCCCUGUUUCCCGACGAGGUUCCAUGGUUGCCGGCUUAGCUCAUCGCGUAGCAGUUCGGCGGUGGUUGGCGACCUCCCUCCUCCUCUCCGGCAGUUGUCUUCCUCAACAACGACGUUUAUGAAAUGGAGAUUGCUCUGAUGGUAUUUUGGUACAGACAAGGAUGAUUCAAAGCUAUAUAUAUUUCUUGAUGUAGUCCACAGGUAACUGAAUAAAUGUCUUGAUGUUUCUCUUGCUUGAAUCAUUAUUCUAUUGUUCAGGAUAAGCUUUAAAGUGUAACAUGUGUUCUCUUGAUGCUUGAACAUAUGAAGUUUUCUUGUUGAUUCUAGUACACUGUAGAAGAAGUGUAAUAAUUUUUGCAAUUUAUAUUAAGUUCAAGUAUCUAAUCAGGUUGUCACUACUUUUGAAUGUACUAGCAUAGUAUAAAAUAUUUUCCUUGUAAAUUCAAUUUUAAAUAUGUUUUGGAAGUCUUCAUUAUUUUGUUUUCCUAGAGAUAUUAAAUGCGCAAACAUAUGCGUGGAUGCUGCUGGGAGAGUCAAACUUGCAGAUUUUGGCCUAGCUAAGGCCACCAAACUGAAUGAUGUGAAGUUCUGUGAGGGCACUGCCUUCUAGAUGGCUCUUGAAGUUAGUUGUGAUUCCUUUACCGAUAAUUAUCAUACAAUUUUGUUCUUCUUGGGGUUGCAUAGUAAACUAAAUCUUUAAUGCCUUGUUAUGACUAAUAUGUAAUGAAUAUAAACAUCAAACGCGUGAUUGCUGAAAUAAAAGGCCAUCAUGUAAGGAAGCAUUGGCAUUAAAUAAUUCCAUUCUCUUUUGUUUGCUCAGUUGCUUGAAACUAUAAACUUUUUCCUAUACUAUUCUUCUAAUUAGUAAUUGUGUUAAUUGCUUCUUUUACUUUUAAUUCUUUUUUUUUUGAGGAAAUUACUUUUAAUUCUUUUAAUUCUAAUUGGAUUAAUUUUGUAGGGACACUACUCCGUAGCAGUGGGAAAGAAAGUUAGGAAUUAGAGGAUAAUUGUAUGUGCAAUCUUAUUUAGGAAUUGGACUAAUUUUUGUAGGGACACCUUGCAAAUUCCAGCUGCAAGUUAGAUAUAAUUUAGAUUAUAAAUUAAAGCUGCAAACAUACAUUGGCAUUCUUGUAGUCUUGUAGUUUCCUUGGUGAUUAUGUUUCCUUGCUCUAAAUGUUGUUUGUGCAGUGACCAAGUGAUAUUGCAGUUGGUAUGCUAUGAACAUCAGAGCUGUGACCCUCUUCUAGUUAUGAGUGUUAUUUAUAACUUUUAUGACUAUUUACUUCAAAGAAAAUUCAUUCUUUUAUGACUAUUUGGUUUGGAAUUGUAAUUAUGUAAUUUCAUUCUUUUGUAACUUUCAAUUAUUUUUAAUUUGAAUUGUAAAUAUGUAAUUUCAUU